rnacentral:tRNA from 8 species
GGGUCUGUAGCUCAGGUGGUUAGAGUACUACCUUGACAUGGUAGGGGUCGGCGAUUCGAGUUCGCCCGGACCCACCA